rnacentral:rRNA from 1 species
GAUGAACGCUGGCGGCGUGCCUAAUACAUGCAAGUCGAACGCUUUGUGGUUCAACUGAUUUGAAGAGCUUGCUCAGAUAUGACGAUGGACAUUGCAAAGAGUGGCGAACGGGUGAGUAACACGUGGGAAACCUACCUCUUAGCAGGGGAUAACAUUUGGAAACAGAUGCUAAUACCGUAUAACAAUGACAACCGCAUGGUUGUUAUUUAAAAGAUGGUUCUGCUAUCACUAAGAGAUGGUCCCGCGGUGCAUUAGCUAGUUGGUAAGGUAAUGGCUUACCAAGGCGAUGAUGCAUAGCCGAGUUGAGAGACUGAUCGGCCACAAUGGGACUGAGACACGGCCCAUACUCCUACGGGCGGCAGCAGUAGGGAAUCUUCCACAAUGGGCGAAAGCCUGAUGGAGCAACGCCGCGUGUGUGAUGAAGGGUUUCGGCUCGUAAAACACUGUUGUAAGAGAAGAAUGACAUUGAGAGUAACUGUUCAAUGUGUGACGGUAUCUUACCAGAAAGGAACGGCUAAAUACGUGCCAGCAGCCGCGGUAAUACGUAUGUUCCAAGCGUUAUCCGGAUUUAUUGGGCGUAAAGCGAGCGCAGACGGUUAUUUAAGUCUGAAGUGAAAGCCCUCAGCUCAACUGAGGAAUUGCUUUGGAAACUGGAUGACUUGAGUGCAGUAGAGGAAAGUGGAACUCCAUGUGUAGCGGUGAAAUGCGUAGAUAUAUGGAAGAACACCAGUGGCGAAGGCGGCUUUCUGGACUGUAACUGACGUUGAGGCUCGAAAGUGUGGGUAGCAAACAGGAUUAGAUACCCUGGUAGUCCACACCGUAAACGAUGAGUGCUAGGUGUUUGAGGGUUUCCGCCCUUAAGUGCCGCAGCUAACGCAUUAAGCACUCCGCCUGGGGAGUACGACCGCAAGGUUGAAACUCAAAGGAAUUGACGGGGACCCGCACAAGCGGUGGAGCAUGUGGUUUAAUUCGAAGCAACGCGAAGAACCUUACCAGGUCUUGACAUCCCUUGACAACUCCAGAGAUGGAGCGUUCCCUUCGGGGACAAGGUGACAGGUGGUGCAUGGUUGUCGUCAGCUCGUGUCGUGAGAUGUUGGGUUAAGUCCCGCAACGAGCGCAACCCUUAUUACUAGUUGCCAGCAUUCAGUUGGGCACUCUAGUGAGACUGCCGGUGACAAACCGGAGGAAGGUGGGGAUGACGUCAAAUCAUCAUGCCCCUUAUGACCUGGGCUACACACGUGCUACAAUGGCGUAUACAACGAGUUGCCAACCCGCGAGGGUGAGCUAAUCUCUUAAAGUACGUCUCAGUUCGGAUUGUAGGCUGCAACUCGCCUACAUGAAGUCGGAAUCGCUAGUAAUCGCGGAUCAGCACGCCGCGGUGAAUACGUUCCCGGGUCUUGUACACACCGCCCGUCACACCAUGAGAGUUUGUAACACCCAAAGCCGGUGGGGUAACCUUCGGGAGCCAGCCGUCUAAGGUGGGACAGAUGAUUAGGGUG